rnacentral:rRNA from 1 species
GUGAGGAAUAUUGGUCAAUGGGCGAGAGCCUGAACCAGCCAAGUCGCGUGAAGGAAGAAGGAUCUAUGGUUCGUAAACUUCUUUUGCAGGGGAAUAAAGUGCAGGACGUGUCCUGUUUUGUAUGUACCCUGAGAAUAAGGAUCGGCUAACUCCGUGCCAGCAGCCGCGGUAAUACGGAGGAUCCGAGCGUUAUCCGGAGUUAUUGGGUUUAAAGGGUGCGUAGGUGGUUUGAUAAGUCAGCGGUGAAAGUUUGCAGCUUAACUGUAAAAAUGCCGUUGAAACUGUCGAACUUGAGUGUAAAUGAGGUAGGCAGAAUGCGUGGUGUAGCGGUGAAAUGCAUAGAUAUCACGCAGAACUCCGAUUGCGAAGGCAGCUUACUAAGCUACAACUGACACUGAAGCACGAAAGCGUGGGGAUCAAACAGGAUUAGAUACCCUAGUAGUCC